UAUCUAGGAAUUAUAGAUUUCAAGGUGUCC
rnacentral:piRNA from 1 species